CAGUAACUCCAGGCAGCCCUCUUCUGACCCUAGGGCGUAUAUGUGGUAUACAUACACAUAUGCAGGCAAAACACGCACACACAAAUUAAAUAUUAAAAAGUGAUUCCCGGAUCACAAAUAUUCAAACAAUUAAUAUAAGGUCUUGCUUCAAAGCUCAGGUUGGCCUCAAACUCGGCCCGCCAGCCUCCGUCUCUCAGGUGUGACUACAGGCACGCACCACCUAGUCUGACCACAGUCAUUCUAGCUUGAUUACAAGAAGCUCAGCCAGGGUUGCCCUAGCCCCUAGCACCUGUGAGGUGAUGGAAUAGCCUGCCGGGAGCUCCCAGCCUGCAUUAACAGCACUGACCAAUCAGGAGCAGGGAAACCUCUUCUCUGGGUCUCAUUGUUGACUACAAGCCUCAGUCAUGUCCUGUCAUCCUUUCUGCUUUCUUAUUCUUCUGGUGGGCGCUGGAACACGUAGAGAGUGAAUUCCUCAAGUGAAGGCAUCAGGUGAGGCAGCAAAGAGGGGCGUGAGGUUCAGGGUAUGGUGGCCAGUAAGGGCCAAGUGUAGGUCGCAGGGAAGGAGGCAGAAGGGUGGAGCGAAGACCGGGAGAAAAUCAGAGGAGACAGCCUCAGUGGGCGCCGGUACACGUGGACACCGAGCCCCCCAUCCCGUGAGGUUUAACAGCUGGUUGUUUGC
rnacentral:lncRNA from 1 species